ensembl:lncRNA
AUGAGUAUUUGCUACAUCACACAAAGAGGCAAUGAAUUUGUACAUUCGUUCUUUUAUCUUUGUUUUCCUAGAAAGAAAACAAGUACUGAUCAUAUCUACUCAUCAGAUGACGAGGUAGCAGAACAACCACCCAUUAAAAAAAGAAAAGCUGCAAACAAAGCAAGUAUUCCACCUGCACCAAAACCUCCAGCAAUUCCAAAACACAACAAAAAAGCAUUUUUCAAUCAGCAACAAAGUGACAUGGAAGACCAACAGCAGAACUGGUGUGAGAGUCUCCCCAGCUUUCAAGGUAAAUAAUCAGUUGUAUUUGGCUACCUGGAAAGCUAAAUGAAGAUCAACAUUUGAUGCAAUUAAUGCGUUAGUUCAUUCAUAGAAACCUCUGUGAAUUACUCAUGUCAUUCUAAACCCACAAACUUUAUUUUCAAAACACAAAUGAAGAUAUAUUCAGUGAACACAGGGAUUUCUGUUCCUACAUACAGAGCUUGUAGAGGUAACGGAUACAAUAUGAGUGGUUUAAUACCAAUCUUCUGAAGAUUCAUAAUGGCUUUAUAUGAUAAACACAUUUUUUAUUUGUAUGCAACUGUCCCUUUAAGAUUAUGAACCGUCGUUACCAGACUUAAACUCCUUGAUUCAACUUACCUACUCCACCUUUCUCAGCUCCACUACAUAUGUCUCAGCCAGACCAUCACGGAGACGGCUGGUGUGUUGAUCAACCUAACACACAAGGUAAGAGCAUAAUCAGGGAUAAAGGAAAUCUGAAACACAUUCAUCUUAAAAAUUUUGUUUUAAUAAACAUUUUGUGUUCAAUCUUGUGGGAUUACA